GAGUUUGAUCUUGGCUCAGAUUGAACGCUGGCGGCAGGCCUAACACAUGCAAGUCGAGCGGAUGACGGGAGCUUGCUCCUUGAUUCAGCGGCGGACGGGUGAGUAAUGCCUAGGAAUCUGCCUGGUAGUGGGGGACAACGGUUUCGAAAGGAACGCUAAUACCGCAUACGUCCUACGGGAGAAAGCAGGGGACCUUCGGGCCUUGCGCUAUCAGAUGAGCCUAGGUCGGAUUAGCUAGUUGGUGGGGUAAUGGCUCACCAAGGCGACGGAUCCGUAACUGGUCUGAGAGGAUGAUCAGUCACACUGGAACUGAGACACGGUCCAGACUCCUACGGGAGGCAGCAGUGGGGAAUAUUGGGCAAUGGGCGAAAGCCUGAUCCAGCCAUGCCGCGUGUGUGAAGAAGGUCUUUCGGAUUGUAAAGCACUUUAAGUUGGGAGGAAGGGCAGUAAGUUAAUACCUUGCUGUUUUGACGUUACCGACAGA
rnacentral:rRNA from 1 species